AGCGAACGCUGGCGGCAGGCCUAACACAUGCAAGUCGAACGGAUCCUUCGGGAUUAGUGGCGGACGGGUGAGUAACACGUGGGAACGUGCCCUUUGGUUCGGAACAACUCAGGGAAACUUGAGCUAAUACCGGAUGUGCCCUUCGGGGGAAAGAUUUAUCGCCAUUGGAGCGGCCCGCGUCUGAUUAGCUAGUUGGUGAGGUAAAAGCUCACCAAGGCGACGAUCAGUAGCUGGUCUGAGAGGAUGAUCAGCCACAUUGGGACUGAGACACGGCCCAAACUCCUACGGGAGGCAGCAGUGGGGAAUCUUGCGCAAUGAGCGAAAGCCUGACCCAGCCAUGCCGCGUGAAUGAUGAAGGUCUUAGGAUUGUAAAAUUCCUUCACCGGGGACGAUAAUGACGGUACCCGGAGAAGAAGCCCCGGCUAACUUCGUGCCAGCAGCCGCCGCUGUAA
rnacentral:rRNA from 1 species